rnacentral:rRNA from 1 species
UACGUAGGAGGCAAGCGUUGUCCGGAAUCACUGGGCGUAAAGCGUCUGUAGGUGGUCAAAUAAGUCAACUGUUAAAUCUUGAGGCUCAACCUCAAAAUCGCAGUCGAAACUAUUCGACUAGAGUAUAGUAGGGGUAAAGGGAAUUUCCAGUGGAGCGGUGAAAUGCGUAGAGAUUGGAAAGAACACCGAUGGCGAAGGCACUUUACUGGGCUAUUACUAACACUGAGAGACGAAAGCUAGGGUAGCAAAUGGG